rnacentral:rRNA from 1 species
CCUACGGGAGGCAGCAGUGGGGAAUAUUGCACAAUGGGCGGAAGCCUGAUGCAGCGAUGCCGCGUGGAGGAAGAAGGUUUUCGGAUUGUAAACUCCUGAUCUGAGGGACGAUAGUGACGGUACCUCAGGAGAAAGCUCCGGCUAACUACGUGCCAGCAGCCGCGGUAAU